UUGAAGCGGAUUCUGAGCUUAAUCACCUCCAUUGAAGCAGCUUCAAGGUAAGGUUUUUCUUGCGGUCUUCUUAAUCUAUCGAAUUCCUUCGCAAUCUAGGGUUUGUCGUUGAUUUGCUUUUCAAUUUAGUAAUUUUAGGGUUGUGGUAAUAUAGGGUUUGUCUGAAUUUACAAAUCUUGAUUCAACCCCAAAUUCUGACAAACCUGCAACGCUUCCGACCAAGACACCGUCACCUUUAACGGCUUCCGGUACCGGCGCUUGAAAUUUUUUUCUUUUCUUUUCUGUUAAAGCUUACAAAACCCUAAUAUAAAUCUCUCUUUCGCUCAAUUUUUUCCCCAAUUACAAGGCUUUAAUUUGAGAACAAUUGUGAAGUGGGUGUGUUCUCUAAGUUGACUAAUGCAUAUUGUUUGGUCGUAAUCAGCGGGUCUGAGAACUUUUACAGUACAUUUGAAUCCGAGUUGGCGGAUUAUAUUCCCGUUGUAAAGACCUCAUGGCAGGAAACAAAAACGGGCUUCUUGUGCCUCACUCAACUAUUGACCAGGGUUGAAGGACUAGCUGAAAUUUUUGGCAAAACCAGAUUCUGAAACCCAGGGAUCCCCUGAAAGAUCAGCGAUUGACUCAUCUGAGAGUGAUGAAACUGUUCUUGUCAUGAAGGGCCCUAAUGGAAGAAUUAAUAGAGCUUUUUUGGGGGCCUCUGAACAAGACUAUUAUCAGUUGUGGUGAGGAUGCUAUCAUUCGCGUCUGGGAUCCUGUGACAGGUCAAGAGAUAAUGUCAACACAGGACCAUGAAAAUGGUCACAAGAAACCAAUAACAUCACUUUGUCUAUCUGCUGACAAAUUACAUUUCCUCACUGGCUCGCUGGAUAAGUCAGCUAAGAACUUUAACUCUGAUUAAAACCUAUGGUACGGAGCGACCUGUCAAUGCUGUUACUAUGUCUCCUCUUCUGGAUCACGAAAUUGAAGGAAGAGCAGAAACAUUACAUAGAGAAACUCAGCUGCAGCAUAGUUGUGAUGAAAGGUUCUCCCGAAAGUCCUCAGACUUAAUUUGGGAUACUCAGAUGAACCUUAGACCCCUUACUUUUCCGCUGCCUCUUCCCAGCCUUACAUAGUGGCCGAAUGCAAAGUUUUAGGAUGAAGCAUGCUACUCCUAUUAGCAGCCCUGAAUUUAUAUGUUUUUUUUUUUUUUAUUUUUUUUUUAAUUUUUUUUUUUUUCAGUUUUUU